rnacentral:rRNA from 2 species
GACGAGAAGCUUGCUUCUCUGAUGUUAGCGGCGGACGGGUGAGUAACACGUGGAUAACCUACCUAUAAGACUGGGAUAACUUCGGGAAACCGGAGCUAAUACCGGAUAAUAUUUUGAACCGCAUGGUUCAAAAGUGAAAGACGGUCUUGCUGUCACUUAUAGAUGGAUCCGCGCUGCAUUAGCUAGUUGGUAAGGUAACGGCUUACCAAGGCAACGAUGCAUAGCCGACCUGAGAGGGUGAUCGGCCACACUGGAACUGAGACACGGUCCAGACUCCUACGGGAGGCAGCAGUAGGGAAUCUUCCGCAAUGGGCGAAAGCCUGACGGAGCAACGCCGCGUGAGUGAUGAAGGUCUUCGGAUCGUAAAACUCUGUUAUUAGGGAAGAACAUAUGUGUAAGUAACUGUGCACAUCUUGACGGUACCUAAUCAGAAAGCCACGGCUAACUACGUGCCAGCAGCCGCGGUAAUACGUAGGUGGCAAGCGUUAUCCGGAAUUAUUGGGCGUAAAGCGCGCGUAGGCGGUUUUUUAAGUCUGAUGUGAAAGCCCACGGCUCAACCGUGGAGGGUCAUUGGAAACUGGAAAACUUGAGUGCAGAAGAGGAAAGUGGAAUUCCAUGUGUAGCGGUGAAAUGCGCAGAGAUAUGGAGGAACACCAGUGGCGAAGGCGACUUUCUGGUCUGUAACUGACGCUGAUGUGCGAAAGCGUGGGGAUCAAACAGGAUUAGAUACCCUGGUAGUCCACGCCGUAAACGAUGAGUGCUAAGUGUUAGGGGGUUUCCGCCCCUUAGUGCUGCAGCUAACGCAUUAAGCACUCCGCCUGGGGAGUACGACCGCAAGGUUGAAACUCAAAGGAAUUGACGGGGACCCGCACAAGCGGUGGAGCAUGUGGUUUAAUUCGAAGCAACGCGAAGAACCUUACCAAAUCUUGACAUCCUUUGACAACUCUAGAGAUAGAGCCUUCCCCUUCGGGGGACAAAGUGACAGGUGGUGCAUGGUUGUCGUCAGCUCGUGUCGUGAGAUGUUGGGUUAAGUCCCGCAACGAGCGCAACCCUUAAGCUUAGUUGCCAUCAUUAAGUUGGGCACUCUAAGUUGACUGCCGGUGACAAACCGGAGGAAGGUGGGGAUGACGUCAAAUCAUCAUGCCCCUUAUGAUUUGGGCUACACACGUGCUACAAUGGACAAUACAAAGGGCAGCGAAACCGCGAGGUCAAGCAAAUCCCAUAAAGUUGUUCUCAGUUCGGAUUGUAGUCUGCAACUCGACUACAUGAAGCUGGAAUCGCUAGUAAUCGUAGAUCAGCAUGCUACGGUGAAUACGUUCCCGGGUCUUGUACACACCGCCCGUCACACCACGAGAGUUUGUAACACCCGAAGCCGGUGGAGUAACCUUUUAGGAGCUAGCCGUCGAAGGUGGGACAAAUGAUUGGGGUGAAGUCGUAACAAGGUAGCCGUAUCGGAAGGUGCGGCUGGAUCACCUCCUUU